GACGAACGCUGGCGGCGUGCUUAACACAUGCAAGUCGAACGGAAAGGCCCUGCUUUUGUGGGGUGCUCGAGUGGCGAACGGGUGAGUAACACGUGAGUAACCUGCCCUUGACUUUGGGAUAACUUCAGGAAACUGGGGCUAAUACCGGAUAGGAGCUCCUGCUGCAUGGUGGGGGUUGGAAAGUUUCGGCGGUUGGGGAUGGACUCGCGGCUUAUCAGCUUGUUGGUGGGGUAGUGGCUUACCAAGGCUUUGACGGGUAGCCGGCCUGAGAGGGUGACCGGCCACAUUGGGACUGAGAUACGGCCCAGACUCCUACGGGAGGCAGCAGUGGGGAAUAUUGCACAAUGGGCGGAAGCCGGAUGCAGCAACGCCGCGUGCGGGAUGACGGCCUUCGGGUUGUAAACCGCUUUCGCUCAUGACGAAGCUUUGUGUGACGGUAGUGGGUAAAGAAGCACCGGCUAACUACGUG
rnacentral:rRNA from 1 species